UUUACAAAAGCAAAGUAACAAUUUACUUAAAGGUAUCUGCAUAAGAGUGACAUGACACUGCCAUGAACACAUGACACUGUCACAACACUGUCAUGACACAUGAACACUGACCCUAACGCUUAACCCUAAC